rnacentral:rRNA from 1 species
GGCUGAAGAAGGUCCCAAGGGUUUGGCUGUUCGCCAAUUAAAAGGGUACGCGAGCUGGGUUCAGAACGUCGUGAGACAGUGGAAUAUUGCGCUGUCUAUAAAUUUGGCUAUAUGCUGGGAACUCUGUAGUCCUAAUAGGACUUGUAGUAUCUGGUGGUACUUUGUAUUAUAGAAAUAUGUUACAAAGUGAAAAUUCAUCCAGUGCAGACAAUCAGCAGGAAAGGUCAAAAGAGUUUUUGCGCGGGUACGUUUGUGGUUUGGUUGAUGGUGAAGGCAGCUUUCACAUCGCUUUUGCGAUACGAAAAGACUUGCCUUUAGGAAUGUCUGUGAUUCCGGAGUUUCAUGUUUCACAGAAUUUCCAGAGCCGAAAUGUUCUAGAACUUGUUGAAAAAGUUUUAGGCUGCGGCUACAUUAAACCAAAUCACCGGAAUUCAAAGGAUGAGACUUUUGUCUAUGUCGUCCGAGAUCGGGCUGACCUUAUAACAAAAGUUAUUCCAUUCUUUGAAUUCAACCAUUUGCUUACAUCUAAAAAGCUUGAUUUCAAAAUAUUCUAUUCUGUUGUUCGAAUAAUCUGCUCUGGCAGACACCGAACAUCAGUUGGAAUGGCUGAAAUCAUCAAACUAGCUUACAAGAUGAAUGCUGGUGGAAAAAGACGUAUUCGUAAAAAAGAAGAAUUAUUAGCUCUUUUGAAAUCCUCAACGACUACAUGCCAAACUCCGAACAAAGUGUCGGAGAAGAUAUAGUCUAAACUGCAUAGCGAUAUGCAGAAUCCAAUUCGCAUUGGAUCGCCACAGAUAAAUUUCAGUAAUUGAUGUGGUUAUCAAGUAAUAGAUUGUCGGUCCUAAUCUGCUGUAGGCGUAAAGAUUUGAGUGGUGCUGUCCCUAGUACGAGAGGACCGGGAUGGACGAACCUCUGGUGUGCCAGUUGGAUGACCCUCAUCCAUCGCUGGGUAGCUAUGUUCGGUUUGGAUAAACGCUGAAAGCAUAUAAGCGUGAAGCCGUCCACAAGAUUAGAUCUUUGAUCCCCCAAAGACUAUGGGGUUGAUAGGCUCUAGGUGUAAGUCCCGUGAGGGAUUCAGCUGUGGAGUACUAAUUGAUCAAUU